CCUUUAGAGUUUUGGAUCUGGCUCAGGACGAACGCUGGCGGCGUGCUUAACACAUGCAAGUCGAACGAUGAAGCCGCUUCGGUGGUGGAUUAGUGGCGAACGGGUGAGUAACACGUGGGCAAUCUGCCCUUCACUCUGGGACAAGCCCUGGAAACGGGGUCUAAUACCGGAUACCACUCUGUCCCGCAUGGGACGGGGUUGAAAGCUCCGGCGGUGAAGGAUGAGCCCGCGGCCUAUCAGCUUGUUGGUGGGGUAAUGGCCUACCAAGGCGACGACGGGUAGCCGGCCUGAGAGGGCGACCGGCCACACUGGGACUGAGACACGGCCCAGACUCCUACGGGAGGCAGCAGUGGGGAAUAUUGCACAAUGGGCGAAAGCCUGAUGCAGCGACGCCGCGUGAGGGAUGACGGCCUUCGGGUUGUAAACCUCUUUCAGCAGGGAAGAAGCGCAAGGAC
rnacentral:rRNA from 1 species